rnacentral:misc_RNA from 1 species
UACGUAGGUUGCAAGCGUUGUCCGGAAUUACUGGGCGUAAAGCGCGCGCAGGCGGCCUCUUAAGUCUAAUGUGAAAGCCUCCGGCUCAACCGGGGAGGGCCAGUGGAAACUGGGAAGCUAGAGUAUAGGAGAGAAGAGUGGAAUUCCACGUGUAGCGGUGAAAUGCGUAGAGAUGUGGAGGAACACCAGUGGCGAAGGCGCCUCAUUGGCCUAUAACUGACGCUGAGGCGCGAAAGCGUGGGGAGCAAACAGG